rnacentral:rRNA from 1 species
UACGUAGGGGGCAAGCGUUGUCCGGAUUUAUUGGGCGUAAAGAGCGUGUAGGCGGUCAGGUAGGUCGGUUGUGAAAACUGGAGGCUCAACCUUCAGAGGUCGACCGAAACCCCCUGGCUAGAGUCCGGGAGAGGAGAGUGGAAUUCCUGGUGUAGCGGUGAAAUGCGCAGAUAUCAGGAACAACACCCGUGGCGAAAGCGGCUCUCUGGAACGGUACUGACGCUGAGACGCGAAAGCGUGGGGAGCGAACAGG